UUAACUGAAUCCAUAGGUUAAUGAGGCGAACCGGGGGAACUGAAACAUCUAAGUACCCCGAGGAAAAGAAAUCAACCGAGAUUCCCCCAGUAGCGGCGAGCGAACGGGGAGGAGCCCAGAGCCUGAAUCAGUGUGUGUGUUAGUGGAAGCGUCUGGAAAGGCGCGCGAUACAGGGUGACAGCCCCGUACACAAAAAUGCACAUACUGUGAGCUCGAUGAGUAGGGCGGGACACGUGGUAUCCUGUCUGAAUAUGGGGGGACCAUCCUCCAAGGCUAAAUACUCCUGACUGACCGAUAGUGAACCAGUACCGUGAGGGAAAGGCGAAAAGAACCCCGGCGAGGGGAGUGAAAAAGAACCUGAAACCGUGUACGUACAAGCAGUGGGAGCCUCUUAAUGGGGUGACUGCGUACCUUUUGUAUAAUGGGUCAGCGACUUAUAUUCUGUAGCAAGGUUAACCGAAUAGGGGAGCCGAAGGGAAACCGAGUCUUAACUGGGCGUUAAGUUGCAGGGUAUAGACCCGAAACCCGGUGAUCUAGCCAUGGGCAGGUUGAAGGUUGGGUAACACUAACUGGAGGACCGAACCGACUAAUGUUGAAAAAUUAGCGGAUGACUUGUGGCUGGGGGUGAAAGGCCAAUCAAACCGGGAGAUAGCUGGUUCUCCCCGAAAGCUAUUUAGGUAGCGCCUCGUGAAUUCAUCUCCGGGGGUAGAGCACUGUUUCGGCAAGGGGGUCAUCCCGACUUACCAACCCGAUGCAAACUGCGAAUACCGGAGAAUGUUAUCACGGGAGACACACGGCGGGUGCUAACGUCCGUCGUGAAGAGGGAAACAACCCAGACCGCCAGCUAAGGUCCCAAAGUCAUGGUUAAGUGGGAAACGAUGUGGGAAGGCCCAGACAGCCAGGAUGUUGGCUUAGAAGCAGCCAUCAUUUAAAGAAAGCGUAAUAGCUCACUGGUCGAGUCGGCCUGCGCGGAAGAUGUAACGGGGCUAAACCAUGCACCGAAGCUGCGGCAGCGACACUAUGUGUUGUUGGGUAGGGGAGCGUUCUGUAAGCCUGUGAAGGUGUACUGUGAGGUAUGCUGGAGGUAUCAGAAGUGCGAAUGCUGACAUAAGUAACGAUAAAGCGGGUGAAAAGCCCGCUCGCCGGAAGACCAAGGGUUCCUGUCCAACGUUAAUCGGGGCAGGGUGAGUCGACCCCUAAGGCGAGGCCGAAAGGCGUAGUCGAUGGGAAACAGGUUAAUAUUCCUGUACUUGGUGUUACUGCGAAGGGGGGACGGAGAAGGCUAUGUUGGCCGGGCGACGGUUGUCCCGGUUUAAGCGUGUAGGCUGGUUUUCCAGGCAAAUCCGGAAAAUCAAGGCUGAGGCGUGAUGACGAGGCACUACGGUGCUGAAGCGACAAAUGCCCUGCUUCCAGGAAAAGCCUCUAAGCAUCAGGUAACAUCAAAUCGUACCCCAAACCGACACAGGUGGUCAGGUAGAGAAUACCAAGGCGCUUGAGAGAACUCGGGUGAAGGAACUAGGCAAAAUGGUGCCGUAACUUCGGGAGAAGGCACGCUGAUAUGUAGGUGAAGCGACUUGCUCGUGGAGCUGAAAUCAGUCGAAGAUACCAGCUGGCUGCAACUGUUUAUUAAAAACACAGCACUGUGCAAACACGAAAGUGGACGUAUACGGUGUGACGCCUGCCCGGUGCCGGAAGGUUAAUUGAUGGGGUUAGCGGUAACGCGAAGCUCUUGAUCGAAGCCCCGGUAAACGGCGGCCGUAACUAUAACGGUCCUAAGGUAGCGAAAUUCCUUGUCGGGUAAGUUCCGACCUGCACGAAUGGCGUAAUGAUGGCCAGGCUGUCUCCACCCGAGACUCAGUGAAAUUGAACUCGCUGUGAAGAUGCAGUGUACCCGCGGCAAGACGGAAAGACCCCGUGAACCUUUACUAUAGCUUGACACUGAACAUUGAGCCUUGAUGUGUAGGAUAGGUGGGAGGCUUUGAAGUGUGGACGCCAGUCUGCAUGGAGCCGACCUUGAAAUACCACCCUUUAAUGUUUGAUGUUCUAACGUGGGCCCCUUACCGGGGUUGCGGACAGUGUCUGGUGGGUAGUUUGACUGGGGCGGUCUCCUCCUAAAGAGUAACGGAGGAGCACGAAGGUUGGCUAAUCCUGGUCGGACAUCAGGAGGUUAGUGCAAUGGCAUAAGCCAGCUUGACUGCGAGCGUGACGGCGCGAGCAGGUGCGAAAGCAGGUCAUAGUGAUCCGGUGGUUCUGAAUGGAAGGGCCAUCGCUCAACGGAUAAAAGGUACUCCGGGGAUAACAGGCUGAUACCGCCCAAGAGUUCAUAUCGACGGCGGUGUUUGGCACCUCGAUGUCGGCUCAUCACAUCCUGGGGCUGAAGUAGGUCCCAAGGGUAUGGCUGUUCGCCAUUUAAAGUGGUACGCGAGCUGGGUUUAGAACGUCGUGAGACAGUUCGGUCCCUAUCUGCCGUGGGCGCUGGAGAACUGAGGGGGGCUGCUCCUAGUACGAGAGGACCGGAGUGGACGCAUCACUGGUGUUCGGGUUGUCAUGCCAAUGGCACUGCCCGGUAGCUAAAUGCGGAAGAGAUAAGUGCUGAAAGCAUCUAAGCACGAAACUUGCCCCGAGAUGAGUUCUCCCUGACUCCUUGAGAGUCCUGAAGGAACGUUGAAGACGACGACGUUGAUAGGCCGGGUGUGUAAGCGCAGCGAUGCGUUGAGCUAACCGGUACUAAUGAACCGUGAGGCUUAACCUUACAACGCCGAAG
rnacentral:rRNA from 1 species